UACGUAGGGGGCAAGCGUUGUCCGGAUUUAUUGGGCGUAAAGAGCGUGUAGGCGGCCAGGUAGGUCUGCUGUGAAAACUCGAGGCUCAACCUCGAGAUGUCGGCGGAAACCAUCUGGCCAGAGUCCGGAAGAGGAGAGUGGAAUUCCUGGUGUAGCGGUGAAAUGCGCAGAUAUCAGGAGGAACACCAAUUGCGAAGGCAGCUCGCUGGGACGUUACUGACGCUGAGACGCGAAAGCGUGGGUAGCAAACAGG
rnacentral:rRNA from 1 species